rnacentral:rRNA from 1 species
CGACAGGGAGCGGAACCCGAAAGCCUGUCUCAGUUCGGAUUGGAGUCUGCAACCCGACUCCAUGAAGCUGGAUUCGCUAGUAAUCGCGCAUCAGCCACGGCGCGGUGAAUACGUUCCCGGGCCUUGUACACACCGCCCGUCAAGCCAUGGAAGCCGGGGGUGCCUGAAGUGCGCUGCCGCAAGGAGCGCCCUAGGGUAAAACCGGUGACUGGGGCUAAGUCGUAACAAGGUAAC